rnacentral:rRNA from 1 species
AGUGAACGCUGGCGGUAGGCCUAACACAUGCAAGUCGAACGGCAGCACAGUAAGAGCUUGCUCUUACGGGUGGCGAGUGGCGGACGGGUGAGGAAUACAUCGGAAUCUACUUUUUCGUGGGGGAUAACGUAGGGAAACUUACGCUAAUACCGCAUACGACCUACGGGUGAGAGCAGGGGAGCUUCGGACCUUGCGCGAUUGAAUGAGCCGAUGUCGGAUUAGCUAGUUGGCGGGGUAAAGGCCCACCAAGGCGACGAUCCGUAGCUGGUCUGAGAGGAUGAUCAGCCACACUGGAACUGAGACACGGUCCAGACUCCUACGGGAGGCAGCAGUGGGGAAUAUUGGACAAUGGGCGCAAGCCUGAUCCAGCCAUACCGCGUGAGUGAAGAAGGCCUUCGGGUUGUAAAGCCCUUUUGUUGGGAAAGAAAAGCAGCAGGUUAAUACCCCGCUGUUCUGACGGUACCCAAAGAAUAAGCACCGGCUAACUUCGUG